UGUAUAUCCACAAGGUGGCAGUAAUGCAAAAACAGUUGUAAUGAAACCGCGCAGAACAAGAAGGUUUCACGGCUUGUGCCUGCUCAUGCGCAAGACUUCAAAUUUAACUGAAAAAGGCUGUUUUGGCGCCAAGCUGCUGUUUCUUUGAGAGGUGGAAGCAGAAUAUGUGAGGAUUACUACUGCUGCACAUGUUCCAAGGCUUUUUACACAACUUGACCAAUACACUGACCAGCUCAUAAAAGUCUUCAAGAAAAAAGGAGGCGUUGCAGGGAAGAAAAUUAGACAAACUUUGGCCCCAGCCACACAGAAGGAAACCAUUGAAAAGGGGAGGGAGUGUGUCCUCAGGGCACUACCUUUUUACCUGAAUGAAGACCCAAGCAUCCUCUUCAAAGAAUAAUUGCUACAGCUGUUCAGAGGGAGCUGGAACAAAUUACCCUUGCUAUCUUUACCAUCGAAAGAGCUGAUGCCAGCACUCCUCCAGCCGAUGUGGGUAUAACCAUCUAGUGUGUCCUGCAUGACCUGGAAGACCUGGCCUCUGCAUGUGCACUCUUAAUGGGUGGGAUAUAUGCACUGAAUCUCAGUUAACCUCAAGACUGAAAGCUAAGAGACAAUCAAAAGUAUUGAGAUUUAAAGGAUUUA